UUUUGGAAACUACUGUUGCUUUAUUUGGCAAGGACUUCUCAUUACACUUCAUUUUAGAUGGAAACUUGGAGGUAAGGCAAUAUUUGGAUUGGACAUUAUUGUUCCUUAAACAGAGGCUGAACCUCUCUUAUUAGGUCAGCACUGAUAACUCCUGGCCCGCCAAAAUCUCUGCCCCGGUUUAAAUACCAAAUCCAUCACAUCACCUCCCUAAUUUGGACUUUUCAGAGUCUCAGUAUGUGAGAGCAUUUACAAGAUCUGUUUCAAAUAAAUAGUAUUUAUCAUGUGUGUAUCGAUUCCGACUUCUGACAGUCCAUAGGCUUGGUAUCCAAAUGUUAUAAGGCCACACAGCUCAUUGGAUUGAAGGAUGGUUUGUGGGAACACAUAGGUGUCUAACAGAACAAAACAAAUUUUAGCAAAGCUUCAGUGAGAGUAACAGGUCAAAACUUCAAAACUCCACAAUUAAACAGGAACAGGAGCUUUCUUCUCCACGUUAUACUGUAAUAGAGAAUGUGUGGCAGGAAUUUAUAUGGGCAAUUCAGCAGGUCCAUUUGUGGCUUAGUACAUAAUAUCAGGGCAUAAUUCUAAGAAAAAGGAAGGGAUUUGUACAUGACCAAAUAACAGACAGAGCUUGAGCAGCUUAUAAGUCACCUCGUUAGUGCCAUAUAAAUAAUGAAUUAGUACUAAAUUGGUGUAUAUUGCUAGUUCCAGAUCCAGGGCUGUCCAAAACCAGCCUCUUGUAUCUGAGAAGAAAUAUCUGAAGACUUGUGGAAUACAAUCAAUCUCAAGUUGUGCUGAAUACAAACCUAUUUCUACUCUCUCGCCAAACAAAUUUGAUUAAUGAGGUGCUCUAACAUUUGGUCAGAAACCGAAUCACACAACUGUUCUGCAGCUGGACUAACAAAAGGAAAACAAUCUCAAUCAACAUUAAAACAAACCCCCAAACCCCACAUAAAUUAAAUAAGGACAAUCUAAAAAUCUAUCUUGCUUUAUUUCUGUUACAUUAGAGUUACUUCCCUAAAUCUAAAUAUAUAUUGAUAUAUGUAGUGUAGCUUUUUAUCUAGUCAGCUUUUCAUCAGGAAGGCAACAGAUUGUUUCUAGUUAUUUUGGCUGGUUAUUUAUUUAUUUAUUUUCCUUGUUGUUUUUUGUCUUGUGGCUGUUUUGACACAUUGGGAAAUCUGGACUAGGAUGAAUUAGAUAAAUUGGGCAAAAAUGCUUUUUGAUUCUUACUGCUAAAGAGGUUGAACAUCCAGUUAGAUGCAUCCACAUGCCUUCAUGAAUGUAACAGUUUUAUAACCCCCAGACACGUGGUGACAACCUUUUCUUUUUGCUUGCUGUAUAGCCUAUGCCAUUUGGCAGACUAUGUGCUGAACGAAUUUCACAUGCCUUUCCUCGGUGCAUAGCAUGCGUAUCUGGAUAAUGCAGUCUCAGAUAAUUGUCCAACUUCAGUGUAAUAAAGAGUGAGGUCUAAUAACUGGCAGGAUUCCUACUUGGCACAGCUACUUUUCUUAUUGUCAGGCACUUGGAGCUGUGAAUGGUAUGAUAGAGGUGUCUCAAAGGAAGGAGUAUUCAGGGAAGGUAAAGACCAUGUGGGGGAAUUGUUUGCCAUACGUGACCUCUUGGGACAGCUAAGAGCUGUCUUCACUUCUGACUUGCUCUGAAAACCACACCAGCCUUUUUUUGCAAGUUUUUAAGUUGUUCAGUGUUAUUAACAUGACUGAUGAUGCUGUGGGAUGCUUAAUCCCUUCACCAUCAGAAUAGCAAAAUGUUCAGAGCCACAUCUAGGAUGUUUUUAUUUUAUUGCUCUUGUUUUAGGCCCAGAAAUCUGUCCACAUUUCUAUGUGCAUUUUUUUUACAUAGAAGAGAAUCAAGCUGGUUUAAGUAAUUCCAUGACCAAGCAAAAAGUAAAAAAUAAAAGAUAGCUAAGAAGCAAAGUCCCUUGUAAAUCAGCAGCACAGAAGUUAAUCUGGGAUACUGAAACAGAGAUUGCUGCUUGCUUUCAUUGUAAAAAUAUAUUGUUAUCCUAUUCUUAUAGAUGGCAACAAAUUGUUUUCUUUCUUUUGAUCAGAUGUACAGAGCUGUCCUCUGUAAUGUUUUUUAAAUUAAAUUAACAGUCACUGCAUAUUAUCCUAUCAUCUCAUUACUUGGUUUAUUUCAUUAGCCUAGCUGUAUUAAUUUUAGUACACAUUAGUACUUAAUUUGCACGGAAACAUUUUUGAAUAACUAGAGACAGAGUUCAGGAAGAGUGAUGAUGUGUGGGUUUACAGUCAGCUGUUUUGCAAAGAAACAAAAAUAAAGCGAAAAGACAGGCAAUUAUCUUAUGAAAAUAACUAAGAUGCAUCAGUCUUUCUUACAAAAACAGCUCUGAACAAGCUGGCUCAAAGUAUGAAAUCACAGGACUACUUGCGUAAAAUGUUAUUUUAAGAUUCACAUGUAAUUCCCCUACCCCCAAAGUAACAGUAUAGAAAUGUGUAGCAGUUUCAAUGUCAUCAUGAGAAAAACACCUGAAAACAUGAUACUGCAUGAAUGUGGGGUUGUAUAGACUAUGUACAACCUGUACACUGUGACCAUAGAGAUUCAGAAUGAAACUGGCAGCAUUACAAUGCAAGUGGGGAGGAAGGAAGAGGACACAUUGUAAAAGGCACCCUAACAAUAACCAGCAAAAAUAAAAAUCUGCAAAAGAAUAUUGAAAAACACCCAUGCAAUCAUACAAGUCCUUGGGAUACUGCUAAAAUUUGGUAUUGGCAACACACAAAGAUAAGUUAUCAUUAAACAAGAUUCAGGUCAACAUCCUCAGCUGCACUAUGUGUGGUAUAACUCAGAGCAGAGUAGCACUGAACCACCCUUCUUUCUCUGGCCACAGCAGCUUCCCCUAAUCUAUGAGGACCACUGCUCUGGGCAAUGGCUGGCUGAGGGGGCUGUGUCUUUCAGCCCUGGCUAAAUACAUCUCUGCAGUGUAGGAAGGAACAUCACAGAGAGGAUUUGUGGCAAGCAGCAAGAUCCCUUGCUCCUGUGAUAAAGCAGCCUGGGCGUUGAAAGAAGUAGGGCAAUAGACUGCAGGAUGGGUUAUUUCUUUGUCAAUUUGAGGAAGUGUGUGUGCAAAUCUUACACCGAGACUCAUUCACUACCUAGAAAGAAGGGAGUUUGUUAUUAAGAAACCCCAAAUGUAACUUCUGCAGAACCCCAAGGAUUUAUGAAUAAUCAGUACCACUUACACAGCUUUAGCACCCUACAUUAACUCUGGUCCUGAUGAAUGACUU
ensembl:lncRNA